CCGUCGCCGGAACCCCAUCCUUUACCAAAAUUUUCAGAUUUUCUUCUCUUCCUUCCCUCUUUCCAUUUCUCCAACCAAAAUCAAGAAAUUUGGCCAUCCAACCAUCCAAAAACCUUAGAACCCGAAGCUAAAUUGGGGCUUUUUGUGAUUUCUUCUUUCCAAGUUCAAAUCAAGAGGCUAGGCUAUGGGUUUGGCAAGGAUUUGUGGUGAAGAAGGCCAAGGAGGAAGCUUAGGCCGUGAGUUUUGAAGAAGAAAGGGAAACACGAUCGUUAAGGAAGCUGAAGCGGAAAGCACCAGAGUGUGGAAUACGCCGGCAUUUCCAGGACCUCCGAGCUAAAAAGUGGAAAUGAACUCACAAAUGGAAAGAGGAGCUUGCGAAAGUCAAGGGGAGCAAAAAUGAGGAACAAUGGACCACAGAAAUGAGCAGAAAUGAAGAAAAGAAGUUUUCCUGCUUCAACUAGGAAACCCUGCGAAAAGGAGGAAAGCUUACCAAUGAAGUUUCCAACGUUACUAUGAAAAAGAAAUGGAAAAAUGAAGUGUUAUGGCGUUGGAAGGUAUAAAGGCUUGAAGUUGAAGCAACGAGGCCCAAGAACUCUCAAGACUUGUUGGAUUUUCGGCAAAUUGGAUAAAAGGCCACAAGAGCCCAUGGAACUAGGGUUGUGACGCAAGGAUGUAACCCUAGAGAUGUUGUUGCCGUGAAAAUCAAGAGAGAAACAAGGAGUUUGCCGUGAGAAAAAUCAGAAAAUAAGAAAAGAUUUCGAUGGAGAUUUUCUAGGGCUAUUUUUAUGGAAAGAAAUAUACUUGGAGACUUACCCUAGAAGAGUUUGCCGUGAAGAAUGAAGAGGAAAAGAAGGGAUUGCCGUCCAAGUCAAGAAGAAACCCUAGAGGAUGACGCCAAGAGAGAUUCUAGGGGAGAGUUUUAAGGAAAGCCAAAGUGUGGAGACCAAGAAACGGCCAGAAAGGAGUCCAGGUUCGUUCCCUAUAUUCUCUAAGGAAGUUUGGCCAAAAUUGAACUACA